rfam:Triticum aestivum genome assembly, contig: Triticum_aestivum_CS42_TGACv1_scaffold_272171_3DS
UGGAUACUCCCUCCGUCCGAAAAACUUGUCCCAAGCUUGUCCCUUAAAUGGAUAUAUCUAGCACUAACUUGGUAUUAGAUAUAUCCAUUCGAGGGAUAAGCUUUUUCGAACGGAGGGAGUAGCUU